GUAGAUGUUUUCGAGUUGGAGGCAGUAGAUAUUGGGACUCUGCAAGAUAUAGUGGUUGAGAAAGGGAAAGGCUCCGACUGGCUUCUGGAGAAGAUUAUUGUGAAAGAGUUAGCAACUGCUGGGACAGAAACAUUGUUUAUGGCUCAAACAUGGCUAAAAGACAGACGUGAUGGGAAAAGAUCUGCCUCAGUAACUCUGAAUGCCACAGAAAUUCGAGAGAGGAGGAGUGCUUCUGCCUAUCCUCAAGGAAAAGAGCAAAUGAAUUCAGAAGGCAGAUGGAGGAUUUAUUUCACAAAGCAUCAAGAUGAAACAAAAAAAGACUUUGAAAAGUUGUCAGAAAAUAUAUCCAAGUUGGUUAUGGUUUUUUAUGGAAGCAACGGCAAGUCAAAUCCGGUUUCCAUGGAAAACAAAGUGGAACAUCAGGCUAAGAACCAAAUAACAUACGAUAUACAUUUACCAUCUGAUUUGGGUAUGGUUUAUAAAGUAAGACUUGGACUCCAGAGUUUGGAAAGCAGCAUAUCACAGUUGUCUCUUCAUCACUUUAAAAUGCAGAACACAUCAACCCUGGAUACCUUUAGUCUCACUAUAAAUAAAACACUUCCUCUUUCUCUUAAUGGAGACAGAUGGAUUGAAUUCCCUGUAGAGUGGCCAUUAAAAGAAGCACUUUCUGUGGUUACGUAUCACCUAACCGUAUUUUCUAGAAAUAUUUUGACUGACAGAAGUGUAGUGAAUAUGACUGCGUGUAUAUAUGGUACUCAUGGUGACACAGGGGACAGAUCUCUUCUCUGGUCAUUGCAGAAUAUCCAGCAGGAAGAUGAUAGUGAGUCAUUUCUUGUUAUCAUGGAUGCUGUUGAACUGGGAGAAGUGGACAAAGUUGUUCUCAUAAUCAGCAGCAAGAAAGGUAACAUACUUUUGUUGCUCUCUAAAGUUAGUGAUGUGAAAUACACAGCUUACCUUCUGUUAAAGGCAAUGCAAUCACUGCCACAGUUGCCAGAUUAA
rnacentral:lncRNA from 1 species